rnacentral:rRNA from 1 species
GGAAGGCCAUGGCGUGGUGGACGCGUGCCCGCCGUCCACGCCAACGACUGACGCCGUGUCGAGCAUCCGGCGGAGCCACACGAUGGAUAAGAACACCCUGCACGCCCAGGACAAACCCUAGAUGCUUUCCCCUCACCCUUCGCCAUGCUCUCUCCCUCACAGUACCCCACCGCGCUGCUGCCACCAUGGUCGUCAUCGUCGUCGCGGCCACCGACUUCCCCGGUGCCUGAAAAGCUGUCUAGGAGCAUCCCCACCUUCGUCUCCUUCGACUUCGCCCACCCAAUCGAGUUGAUCCGCCCCGUGUGCUCGCCAUCAAGCACAUCUUCGUCGUGUACAUCGCCGGCUUCCGGCGUCGUUUGCUACUACUCCGGUCCGUCCCCGACCUCUCCGACCCCAUCAUCGAACUCGUGACGUUGGAGUCCAGGAGCCAAACACCACUGUCGAUGACGACUACUACUACUCGGGAGGUGCCUACUACUACGUGCAGCCCGCUGACGACGACCAAGAGUAGUUUAGGAGGAUCCCAGGCAGGAGGCAUGCGCCUCUUUCGAUUUGUAUCCCAAUUUGUGCUGGCCUUCUUAAGGCAAACUUGUUUAACUUAUGUCUGUACUCAUAUAUUGUUGCUUCCGCUGACUCGUCUAUGAUGGAGCUCUUGUAUUCGAGCCCUCGAGGCCCCUGGCUUGUAAUAUGAUGCUUGUAUGACUUAUUUUAGUCGUAGAGUUGUGUUGUGAUAUCUUCCCG